rnacentral:tRNA from 1 species
GGGUGCUUGGCGCAAUGGUAGCGCGCGGUCCUCCUACUCGGAUAAGACUGAGGUUGAGGGUUCGAGUCCCUUGGUGCUCG